rnacentral:rRNA from 1 species
AUGAAAUCUGACGAUUUAAGCUAUCUCCAGAGAAUCCUAACCAAUGGCAUCAUUCAUCACUCGAGGAGGUUCUUGCUCGUAAUCGAUGACGCGCAGGAGGAUAUAUGCCGAGAAGAUUGCCAUGAAUGGAAGAGUUUCCUCGCCCCACUGAAAUGUGCCAAAUCAGGUAGUAUGGUUCUGGUGACCACAAGGUCUCUCAAGGUUGCUGAUCAUGUUGGUACAGUGAAGCCUUUCGUGUUGGAGGGCUUACCUGAAGGAGUUCUUUGGGAGUUCUUUAGGAUGCAUGCGUUCGGUUCUGAUAAUUCUGACCGCAAUACAGUGUUAGCGAGCAUUGGCAGAAGUAUGGUAUCAAGGUUAAACGGUUCUCCUCUGGGUGCCAAAAUGCUUGGACGACUAUUAAGCCUGAAACAUGAUCCAAUAUACUGGAGAAACAUCUUGGAAAGUGAGUUGUGGAAGCUACAUCACGAGGAGAAGGAAAUGAUGUUCACACAUGAAGGGGAGGAGAAGAACAGCAUCAGCCCAGCCCUUAAGUUGAGCUACCAAUAUCUGCCAUUCCAUCUGAAGCGCUGCAUGUCCUUCUCUUCUGUGUACCCAAGGGACUAUGAGUUUGACGCGGAGACACUAGUGGAUUGCUGGGUAGCAGCGGGCUUAGUGUUGCCUUAUGGAGGAAUGCUUGCACUGGAUGUGGGCCAUGGGUAUUUCCAGCAGCUUGUGAAUCGAUCCUUCUUUCAGAAAGCUCCAACAUCUUCCAGAUAUAUCAUGCAUGAUUUGGUGUACGCUAUGGCACAGCAAAUUUCCAGCAAUGAAUGCUUUGUGAUAAACAAUAGAGAAGACUUAUCGAGAAUUCCUCCCAAUGUUCGUCAUUUAUCAGUUCUUGGCAGCAGUGGACUGAAAAGUAGUGAUCUAGAAAGCCUGCACAUGUACAAGACGUUGCGUUCUGUUAUAUGCAUCAGUAUGGACUCUGAUAUUGUCACUACUUCUGUUGCUGAAACACGGUUCAGUGAUCUCGUUAACAUUCGAAUGCUCAGAUUCAUAUCCUGUCAGCUGAAGGAGCUACCUGAAAAUGUGGGCAACCUAAUACAUCUUCGCUAUCUUGACAUCUCUGCCUGCGAUUUUGACAAGUUUCCGGAUUCUUUUUGGCGUCUCUAUAAGCUGGAAAUUUUAGAUGCUCGAAACUGCAAAAUCAGAGAUGUUCCCAAGGGUAUCAUCAAGUUAGUAAACUUGCAGAGAGUUAGACUGAAGGAUGAUCUUAUGAGACAACUCGGUGUGUGCCGAGUAUAG